AUGCCGGCCGGAACGCCCAUACACGUGUUCAAGAACCUCCUGUGUGCGGCGACUGCCAUGCCGCAAUCAAGAUGGUCGCCAAGGUGUACAACAGAGAGACGACACGGCCAUGCCAUGAAGAUUGAUGCACUUGUUGCCGGAGUUGGCGUCCUUAUUUUCUCAAGCAAGCGUAGGUCCAGUGGCAUGGGAGCAACAUUGUUGAAGGGCCAAGGCUGCAUAGUUUGUACGCACAUCAAAGAGAAACUUGGAAUGUUUUUGUGCUCGGAUCUCGUUCGGAAGUACUACAUCAUGCAAUUCCCAAGUAAGUAUUUUCCAAUGAAAGUUUCUAUACUAUAUAAGAAAGUUGGUCUGAAGUAUUUGAGGCAUUGGCCUCUUCAGUGGCGUCACCCGACGAGCUCCAAGCGCAGAGGAGGCAUCUCUGCGGGUUCCCCGAGGAACAACAAGAUACAUUUGAAUUCGUUGCCGAUGAGUUAUCAAUUCUUCGAAAUAGACUACGAUCCAUGGUGGUUGUUGAGGUACCUUGAUCAACUUGGAAUGGCAUCGAAGUACAACACAAAAGUGUUCUGCACGCAGACUCUCAUCGGAGGCAACUACGGUUUGCUUGACACGAAGACAUUCUUACCAAUCCUGAUUACUACAGGCAAGACUCACAUUUGUAAAAAAAAAUUGUAG
rnacentral:rRNA from 1 species